CAUUUAGGCAAGAUUGCAACAACAUGAUUGGUUUAGGGGCUUGGUUUCAAAUGUUUCAGUUGGGUCCGAAUAAAAUUUAUCCGGAUCACACCUUGGUAAAAAGGUUAUUUAUAAUUUUUUAACAUGUUCAUCUGAACACAAAAAUAAAUAAAAGCAAUGUUUUAUUGAAAGGGAGUGUGACAUGAAAAAUUAUAACCAAGUUUAAUUAUUUGGGUAUUACUCAGCUUAAACGAUUUUACAUAAAAAGUCGUCUUUGCUGAGAUAUUUGACUAUAAUCAGUAACAAGCAGAGAAAUAAAUUCCGG
rnacentral:misc_RNA from 1 species